GCUUAGAUUCUUCGGAUGAAGAGGAUUGUGACUGAGCGGCGGACGGGUGAGUAACGCGUGGGUAACCUGCCUCAUACAGGGGGAUAACAGUUAGAAAUGACUGCUAAUACCGCAUAAGACCACAGCACCGCAUGGUGCGGGGGUAAAAACUCCGGUGGUAUGAGAUGGACCCGCGUCUGAUUAGCUAGUUGGUAAGGUAACGGCUUACCAAGGCGACGAUCAGUAGCCGACCUGAGAGGGUGACCGGCCACAUUGGGACUGAGACACGGCCCAAACUCCUACGGGAGGCAGCAGUGGGGAAUAUUGCACAAUGGGGGAAACCCUGAUGCAGCGACGCCGCGUGAGCGAAGAAGUAUUUCGGUAUGUAAAGCUCUAUCAGCAGGGAAGAAAAUGACGGUACCUGACUAAGAAGCACCGGCUAAAUACGUGCCAGCAGCCGCGGUAAUACGUAUGGUGCAAGCGUUAUCCGGAUUUACUGGGUGUAAAGGGAGCGUAGACGGAUGGGCAAGUCUGAUGUGAAAACCCGGGGCUCAACCCCGGGACUGCAUUGGAAACUGUUCAUCUAGAGUGCUGGAGAGGUAAGUGGAAUUCCUAGUGUAGCGGUGAAAUGCGUAGAUAUUAGGAGGAACACCAGUGGCGAAGGCGGCUUACUGGACAGUAACUGACGUUGA
rnacentral:rRNA from 1 species